AUUGAACGCUGGCGGCAGGCCUAACACAUGCAAGUCGAGCGGAUGAAGGGAGCUUGCUCCUGGAUUCAGCGGCGGACGGGUGAGUAAUGCCUAGGAAUCUGCCUGGUAGUGGGGGAUAACGUCCGGAAACGGGCGCUAAUACCGCAUACGUCCUGAGGGAGAAAGUGGGGGAUCUUCGGACCUCACGCUAUCAGAUGAGCCUAGGUCGGAUUAGCUAGUUGGUGGGGUAAAGGCCUACCAAGGCGACGAUCCGUAACUGGUCUGAGAGGAUGAUCAGUCACACUGGAAGUGAGAAACGGUCCAGACUCCUACGGGAGGCAGCAGUGGGGAAUAUUGGACAAUGGGCGAAAGCCUGAUCCAGCCAUGCCGCGUGUGUGAAGAAGGUCUUCGGAUUGUAAAGCACUUUAAGUUGGGAGGAAGGGCAGUAAGUUAAUACCUUGCUGUUUUGACGUUACCAACAGAAUAAGCACCGGCUAACUUCGUG
rnacentral:rRNA from 1 species